AACACGGUGACCGCCCCACUUGCCCCACCUAGUCCACCAGCUCCACCUGCUCAGUGAGAGGAGGUGCACCAUGGCUUGCCACAAGGUCACAACUGGUCCCUGGAGAGCCGCUGGUGGUGACGGGCUGCCUGUGCCCUCUCUGCGGCAAAACUCCACACAUACUCCACUCACCAAGUUCCAGAGGAGAGGAUCACCGGCCGUACUAAAGGAAGUGGCUCUAUGUAGGGAUGGAACAUGGCAACUGCACCAGCUGGGAUACACCUAGCCAACUAUUGUGUUAAGAAUAUGGAGAAAGACGGACCAAGGCAAGAAGAGGAGGAGGAAGA